rnacentral:rRNA from 1 species
GAUGAACGCUGGCGGCGUGCCUAAUACAUGCAAGUCGAGCGAACGGACGAUAAGCUUUUGUCUUUGAUGUUAGCGGCGGACGGGCGAGUAAGACGUGCAUAACCUACUUAUAUUUCUGGGAUAACUACGGGAAACCGGUGCUGCUACUACAGAAUACUUUCAACCGCAUGGUUCAAAAGUUAUUGACGGUCUUGCUGUCACUUAUAGAUGGUUCCGCGCUGCAUUAGCUAGUUGGUAAGGUAAAGGCUUACCAAGGCAACGAUGCAUAGCCGACCUGAGAGGAUGAUCGGCCACACUGGAACUGAGACACGGUCCAGACUCCUACGGGAGGCAGCAGUGGGGAAUCUUGGACAAUGGGCGCAAGCCUGAUGCAGCAACACCGCGUGAGUGAAGAAGGCCUUCGGAUCGUAAAACUCUGUUGUUGGGGAAGAACAGAUGUGGAUGAAUCUGCGGCCGUCUUGACGGUACCUAAACAGAAAGCCCCGGCUAACUUCGUG